GAUGAAGAACGCAGCGAAAUGCGAUACGUAGUGUGAAUUGCAGAAUUCCGUGAACCAUCGAAUCUUUGAACGCAAAUUGCGCCCGAGGCUCCGGCCGAGGGCAUGUCUGCCUCAGCGUCGGCUUACACCCUCGCUCUCUUCCCUUCCCUGGAAUGGAUUGAGCGGAUCUGGCCUUCCCGGCUCGGCCCUUAAUGUGGACUCCGGGUUGGUUGAAGCCAAGAGGCUUGAGCAUGGACCCCGUUUGUAGGGCAAUGGCUUGGUAGGUAGGCAUUCCCUACGCACCCUGCCGUUGUCCGAGGGGACUUUGCUGGCGGCCCAGCAGGAAUUUGGAUCGGUCCACGAUCCGAACGACUCAACUAUUCGACCUGAGCUCAGGCAAGACUACCCGCUGAACUUAAGCAUAUCAAUAAGCGGAGGA
rnacentral:misc_RNA from 1 species